UGGGGAAUAUUGGACAAUGGGCGCAAGCCUGAUCCAGCCAUGCCGCGUGAGUGAUGAAGGCCUUAGGGUUGUAAAGCUCUUUCGGCGGGGAAGAUAAUGACGGUACCCGCAGAAGAAGCCCCGGCUAACUUCGUGCCAGCAGCCGCGGUAAUACGAAGGGGGCUAGCGUUGCUCGGAAUCACUGGGCGUAAAGCGCACGUAGGCGGCUUACUAAGUCAGGGGUGAAAUCCUGGAGCUCAACUCCAGAACUGCCUUUGAUACUGGUGAGCUUGAGUUCGGGAGAGGUGAGUGGAACUGCGAGUGUAGAGGUGAAAUUCGUAGAUAUUCGCAAGAAUACCAGUGGCGAAGGCGGCUCACUGGCCCGAUACUGACGCUGAGGUGCGAAAGCGUGGGGAGCAAACA
rnacentral:rRNA from 1 species